GACGAACGCUGGCGGCGUGCCUAAUACAUGCAAGUAGAACGCUGAAGGAGGAGCUUGCUUCUCUGGAUGAGUUGCGAACGGGUGAGUAACGCGUAGGUAACCUGCCUGGUAGCGGGGGAUAACUAUUGGAAACGAUAGCUAAUACCGCAUAAGAGUAGAUGUUGCAUGACAUUUGCUUAAAAGGUGCAAUUGCAUCCCUACCAGAUGGACCUGCGUUGUAUUAGCUAGUUGGUGGGGUAACGGCUCACCAAGGCGACGAUACAUAGCCGACCUGAGAGGGUGAUCGGCCACACUGGGACUGAGACACGGCCCAGACUCCUACGGGAGGCAGCAGUAGGGAAUCUUCGGCAAUGGACGGAAGUCUGACCGAGCAACGCCGCGUGAGUGAAGAAGGGUUUCGGAUCGUAAAGCUCUGUUGUAAGAGAAGAACGAGUGUGAGAGUGGAAAGUUCACACUGUGACGGUAUCUUACCAGAAAGGGACGGCUAACUACGUG
rnacentral:rRNA from 1 species